rnacentral:rRNA from 1 species
UACGUAGGUGGCAAGCGUUGUCCGGAUUUACUGGGCGUAAAGAGCGCGCAGGCGGUCCGAUCAGUCGAAUGUGAAAGCCCCCGGCUCAACUGGGGAGGGUCAUUCGAUACUGUCGGACUCGAAGGCAGGAGAGGGAAGCGGAAUUCCCGGUGUGGUGGUGAAAUGCGUAGAUAUCGGGAGGAACACCAGUGGCGAAGGCGGCUUCCUGGCCUGUUCUUGACGCUGAGGCGCGAAAGCUAGGGGAGCAAACGGG